AUGAAAGAUUGGAGACCUAUUGCAUUAUGUAAUUUGCUUUAUAAGGCUAUAACAGGUGUUCACUUUAUGCAGUCCAAAACAAAAGGUAAGGUUGGUGAGAUAACGCUUAAACUGGAUAUCAGUAAAGCAUAUUACAAGAUUGACCGGGAUUAUCUGAAGGAUAUGCUCACAACUAUAGGAUUUAAUCAAAAGUGGGUAGGGUGGAGCAUGCUUCGUGUGAAAACAGUGGAUUACUCUAUUCGUCUGAAUGGUAAUACAGCCGGUCAUAUUAAUCCUGGCAGGGCUACAUAUGGAAAUGUAACUCCUCAAUCUCUACCAGUGUAG